GUGCUCGCUUCAGCAGCACAUAUACUAAAAUUGGAAAGAUACAGAGAAGAUUAGCAUGGCCCCUGUGCAAGGAUGACACACAAAUUCGAGAAGCAAGAGCAAACAAAU
rnacentral:snRNA from 13 species